UUGGCUCAGGGUCGGUUAAACAUCCAUCAGGUUUUUGCCUGCAUUGAGCUGUCGGCUUUAUGCCGCGGCUUUAAGGUGUGCUUUGUGGAGUGCCUGAAUCGCGACUCUUGGGAUUUAUUUCCUGGGUCCUUCUCAAGCGCCACGAGGUACGGCGUGGGAUACAACUUAAUGUCCCGUAGAUGCCAAUAUAACCU
rnacentral:misc_RNA from 1 species